CUCAAAUUUUGGCCAGAAGUCAAAACUCCUCAGACUCCCUCCCUCCCGCUCCCUCUUUCCCACACAAAUUUGGGAAAACCUAGAAACUGAAAACCUCUCUCUCUCAGACACUCAAUCUCCCUGACAGUCGAUGGCAGCGGCACGAUGGGCGGCGUCACUCAAUCUCCUUGACGGUGGACGUUGAGUUCUCCUUGUAAGUCAUUCUCUCUCUCUCUCUCUCUCAUUCAAAAAUUCGAUCUGUUCCUCUCUCAGAUUCGAUCUGGAUGGUUGAGAAUUGAGAUGGUGGUAUGGGGCGAUGGUUUUGUGGGGGGAGAUUUUGGGGAGUUUUCUCACUUUCUGGGUUUUUCUUUUCUGAUUUACUCUAGAGUCUGGAGGGAGUUAGUAUUGGUCGGAACUAAUUAUUAUUCGUUGUUGCAAUUUUAAUCUGAGCCUGUCGAAGUUUAAAGACAUAAACAGACAAAGCAGUUGAGAUUAGAAUAUGGGUUCUAGCUUCUUGCAAACUCAAACUCAGUUCUAGGCCGAGCUGUGGGAGGGUUAUUGUGUUCUUACUGGAAAACCAGGGCUAUGUAUCCUCCAGGUGGAGUUUAUGCUCAUCCGGGUAUGGUCAUGAUAUGAUGUUCUUCCUCCGAUGGAGUUUCUGAAAGGCUCCCCUCAUGGUUUUAGAUAGCCCGAUUAAUGGAAGUUGCGAUGUGUGUAUAUGAAGACCGAGGAUGGUAAACUUAUUGAGAUUAAACCAUAUGUUCGUAUCCCAAGGUGUCAUGUUGCAGCUGCUACGGAAACUAAGUAUAGCUGAGCAAAAAAUCUAGGGAUUGAAAUUAAAAGCAGAAGAUGAGUACAUAUUAAAGGAGUUGACUAUUGUUAGAUAGAGUUUUCUUGUUGGAGAGCUGUUAUUGUUGGCUGUGCUGCUAUUGCUGGAGUUGUAAGGAGCUAGCUUGACUGUGGGAGAGGAGAGGCAACAGUCAAUAUACCCAAGCAGACAUAGAUAUGAUGCGAAAUGAAUGGGAAAGUAUGUCGUGAAGGCGUAUGUGUAGGAGCUAAAGGAAAGCAUAAGAGGAAGUAGGUUGUUGCUGAAGGAAAGCAUCAUUUUUGUGCUUCUCUGUUGGUACAAUAUUCAUGCACUGUGUGGCAUGUUUUGUAACAAAUAGUUUGUAUUUGUAUCAACUUUUGAUGUCCCAAGUAGAUAGGCAUGCAGUUGAAUGCUUUUCUUCUUUCAAUGUUGGCUUGGAUGAUUGGGAAAUCCUCCCUUUCAACAUUUGAAUGCUUUUCUUCAAAUAAUAUG